rnacentral:rRNA from 1 species
CANUGGGGGAACCCUGAUGCAGCGACGCCGCGUGGAGGAAGAAGGUCUUCGGAUUGUAAACUCCUGUUGUUGGGGAAGAUAAUGACGGUACCCAACAAGGAAGUGACGGCUAACUACGUGCCAGCAGCCGCGGUAAAACGUAGGUCACAAGCGUUGUCCGGAAUUACUGGGUGUAAAGGGAGCGCAGGCGGGAAGACAAGUUGGAAGUGAAAUCUAUGGGCUCAACCCAUAAACUGCUUUCAAAACUGUUUUUCUUGAGUAGUGCAGAGGUAGGCGGAAUUCCCGGUGUAGCGGUGGAAUGCGUAGAUAUCGGGAGGAACACCAGUGGCGAAGGCGGCCUACUGGGCACCAACUGACGCUGAGGCUCGAAAGUGUGGGUAGCAAACAGGAUUAGAUACCCUGGUAGUCCAAGGGCGAAUUC